CGGGUGAGUAAUGUCUGGGAAACUGCCCGAUGGAGGGGGAUAACUACUGGAAACGGUAGCUAAUGCCGCAUAACGUCGCAAGACCAAGAGGGGACCUUCGGGCCUCUUGCCAUCGGAUGUGCCCAGAUGGGAUUAGCUAGUAGGUGGGGUAAUGGCUCACCUAGGCGACGAUCCCUAGCUGGUCUGAGAGGAUGACCAGCCACACUGGAACUGAGACACGGUCCAG
rnacentral:rRNA from 1 species